AUAGAGAUAGACUCUUCAGAAAGUGGAAUUUUCUCCAUUGAUACAGCUCAACAAAUUCUACAUCAGAUCAACACCAUUUCUUCAUUUUUUCUCUCCUACCCAUGAGGAUUCGCGGCCGGAGAAUCUCCGCCGAUAACUCCGUUACCACCAUAUCACAACCGUCGCCAUCUUCGUCGUCGUCGUCAUCCAAUUCUUCAUCAAUCACGGCGGCUCAUUCUCUAGCCUCCUCUCAGGACUCUUCUUCUCACUCUUCCCCAUUUUCUAUAUUGGCGACGGCGGCGGCGACCCACCGCUGCCACGGCCUGGAUCUGCUGGUGAAAGCGAUCCACCAAGUGACCGCCGGGUCGGUCGUCGGCGUGCCUUAUAUUCAGCGGCGCGUGACGAUCAGACGGAGAAGGAGAACUCGGGGCCUGGAAUUCGAUCCCUUUGUGUUCGACGAAAUUCCCCAGAGCAAAGGGCCCCGCCGAAAGUGAGUAAUAAAUUCACUAAUAAUAACAAGAACACGAAGAAGGGGAAGAAUUUAGUGGGAGUGCCGUCGAGAAUUCAAGAUCCUGUUUGGCAGCCAUGGAUGAGAAGAUCUGGCCAUGGCGAUGAAAUGGGCCUAGCGAUGAAAAAACGUCGAAGGAACCACAGAAAGAGGGCAAUGGAUUUGCUUUUGAUUGUGUAGGGAAGAAUCGUAGUUUCAAAGAAGGUAAAAAUUGCUUCAUAACCGAAACCCUUUUGGCUUAAUACUCGGAGAACCGAGCAAGUAUCUUGUUUCUGUAACUUCGUUUUCAGGUAUUAUAGUUUUUGCGACGGCCCUAAGUGCAAAAGCUCAAAUCUUUGACAAUAUUAGUGGUGUAAGUUUGUAACAUGUGGCUUUAUCACUUCGAAAAUUUCAAAUGAAACGUAUAUUGUCGAUUACUUUGUUUUACGUAGUUAAAUGAAAUUUAAAUUGUAUU